AUUGUACCCUGUACUCUUCCCUCCUCCUCCAUAUGCUGCAUACUGUAGUGAAGAACAAUGUCUGCUGUAUUCCACGUUGCAUCCCCACACCCUGCACAGUGCCUGCCAUGUACAUUCAAGUGGAGAGGUCCCAGCAGGAAGAUUUCAGAGUCAUCAGCCUGCAGGUGAUGGUUAAAACCAGAGAGGAGAAGAUUGCCCAGGGAGAGGAGGAGGUGGCAAAACAAUGGAGAUGUCAACUGUAACAGAAGUCCUGGAAGAACUCGUACAAUUGUUUUUGCAAGCUGAACUAUCUGCUUUUUUGUGGAACAUCAUUUUCAUAUAAAGGACUGACAGACUAUGCUUCUUCAUACUUGGAUAUCUGUGGAUGUUUGCCAGGAAAAUGACUGAAGUGAGCGUGUCACCUCAAGGAAAACAACUAUGUAUUGCCAGGUACAGCAGUACACACCUUUAAUCCCAGAGAUUCUGGAGGCUGAGGCAGGAGGAUCACAAAUUUGAGGCCAGCUAAGGCAAUUUGGAAUAACCCUGUCUCCAAAUAAACAGAGGCUGGGAAUUCAGUGCAGUGGUACUGGUAGAACAUGUCCAGGUUCAAUUCCCAGUACCAAAAAGAAAUACAAUAGAGAAAAGACAAUUUCAUCAAUAAAUGGCACUGGAAAACUGAAUAUACAUAAGCAAAGAAUGAAAUUAGACCUUCACCUCAUACCAAAAGUGAACUCAAAAUGGUUUAAGACAAAUGUAAGACCUGAAACUGCAAAACAACUACAAGUAAACAAAAAGGAAAAAGCCGAGCUGGGGAGACAGCUCAGUUG